UACGGAGGAUGCGAGCGUUAUCCGGAUUUAUUGGGUUUAAAGGGUGCGUAGGCGGACUGUCAAGUCAGCGGUAAAGUUGAGAGGCUCAACCUCUUCCCGCCGUUGAAACUGGUGGUCUUGAGUGGAUGAGAAGUACGCGGAAUGCGUGGUGUAGCGGUGAAAUGCAUAGAUAUCACGCAGAACUCCGAUUGCGAAGGCAGCGUACCGGCAUCCAACUGACGCUGAGGCACGAGAGCGUGGGGAUCAAACAGG
rnacentral:rRNA from 1 species